GAAGGGACCUAGCGUAGUUCGGAAUUACUGGGCUUAAAGAGUUCGUAGGUGGUUGAAAAAGUUGGUGGUGAAAUCCCAGAGCUUAACUCUGGAACUGCCAUCAAAACUUUUCAGCUAGAGUAUGAUAGAGGAAAGCAGAAUUUCUAGUGUAGAGGUGAAAUUCGUAGAUAUUAGAAAGAAUACCAAUUGCGAAGGCAGCUUUCUGGAUCAUUACUGACACUGAGGAACGAAAGCAUGGGUAGCGAAGAGGAUUAGAUACCCUCGUAGUCCAUGCCGUAAACGAUGUGUGUUAGACGUUGGAAAUUUAUUUUCAGUGUCGCAGGGAAACCGAUAAACACACCGCCUGGGGAGUACGACCGCAAGGUUAAAACUCAAAUGAAUUGACGGGGACCCGCACAAGUAGUGGAGCAUGUGGUUUAAUUCGAAGAUACGCGCAGAACCUUACCAACACUUGACAUGUUCGUCGCGACUCUAAGAGAUUAGAGUUUUCGGUUCGGCCGGACGAAACACAGGUGCUGCAUGGCUGUCGUCAGCUCGUGUCGUGAGAUGUUGGGUUAAGUCCCGCAACGAGCGCAACCCUCACUUUUAGUUGCCAUCAUUAAGUUGGGCACUCUGAAAGAACUGCCAGUGAUAAGCUGGAGGAAGGUGGGGAUGACGUCAAGUCCUCAUGGCCCUUACGUGUUGGGCUACACACGUGCUACAAUGGCAUCUACAACAGGAAGCAAAACGGCAACGUUAAGCAAAUCCCGAAAAGAUGCCUCAGUUCGGAUUGCACUCUGCAACUCGAGUGCAUGAAGCUGGAAUUACUAGUAAUCGUGGAUCAGCGUGCCACGGUGAAUGCGUUCCCGGGUCU
rnacentral:rRNA from 1 species